UGGCCACUUCCCCGCGGGCGAGGGCCAGGGGUCGGGGCUUCUUCGGAUGGCUGGUGGCCUUGAGUGCUGUGGAUGGAUCUGAGUGUAGAAGGAUGUAGCCAGACUCUGUGGUUGAAGUCCUGAGGUUCUGUUGAAGGAGGCCAAGUCCUUGCCAUUAAACAGCCUUUUUUGUUACUGAAAGCCAGUGAAUGGGAAACUGUUGACUAGACAUCAGUCACCAAGAAGACAAACACUGAAUGGGCCUUUGCUUUCCGUGUGGAGUCAAGCUGUAUUGUGUGGUAAGAAGUUGUCUGAAGAGGGGGAGGCCAGGAAGGCCCAGGCGCUGAGAAGGGGCUCAGGAUGGAGGGUUCUGCUUCUGCCUCCGAUUGGGAUGGGUCUGAUGCAGGCCUUAGACGUGGCAGGUCUGCAGAAGGAGAGUGAAUGUGGGAGGACUGUGGGGAGGGUCUGGAGUCUCAGGAGCCUCAGCGAAGGUCCCAGUGGCUGAGCAUAAUGGGUGGGGGGCGGAUGGAGCGACACAUGCCGUGCAGGGAGUAGGCAGGGAGCAGUGGUGAAGGAGACCAGCCUGAAUCAAGCCAGGGCCUCUGGCUCACAGCACAAGUGCCAGGGAAAGGGAGGGGACGAGGAUCCAACACUGAUGGCCAUUGGACCUCUGGGGACCCUUGACAUGAGCAGACUGGAGACAGAUGAAUUCAACAUUCACUCAUUCAUACUACAUUGGCUGAGGACCCAUUCUGUGCUAAGCAUCAUUUUUAGGCACCAAGGAUGUACAGAUGAAGAUGUCACCCAUAGAUCCCACCCUGGUGGAAUCAGCAGACUAAAGGCCUGUAGCACGAUGGUGGGGAGAGAGUAGGGAGAGAGAGAAAUGAAAACAAGCAAACACACAGAAUUGCAACAAGUCAUAGAAAGUGCAGUUGAAGAUCCAACAGCAUCUGUCAUGGAGAAUAGCAGAGGUGAUUGGCACUAGAUAAGGUGAUCCGGGAGCCUCUCUAAGGCAGCGGCCACCUUGCAGCUGGGGUGUGAGAAGGACAGUGAAGGAGACCAGGAUAGACCUUUCCAAGAAGAGGGAACUACACCUGCCAAAGCCCUGAGAGAGGACAGGGCUUGCCCGAGAGAGAGUGAACUGAACAAAAGCCAGUGCCAGCUGGAGGGAGUGAGGGGGAAAUUGGCAGAGGGAGGGGCUGGGGAGCCUGAGGGACCAGAUAAAAUAGGGCUUUUUAUUUAUUUUUUAAAGUUUAAUUUAAUUUAAUUUAAUUUAAUUUUUCAUUUUUGUCUUCCCUGCAGUAUAUGGAGUUCCCAGGCCUAAGAUCAGAUCUGAGCUGCAGCUGUGGCAACACCAGAUUCUUUAACCCACUGUGCUGGGCCAGGGAUGGGACCUGUGACCCAGAGCUUCCAAGAGGCCAUCACUGUUCCUGUUACAAAACAGCAGGCACUCCCAAGUAGGGCUUUUUAAAUCCUAGUAAGAAGUUUGGAAAACACAAAAGAGAAUGGUGAUGUGUCAUAAAUGUCAUGGAGGAAUCCACGUGCCCUUUGCUCUGUAAAGAUUAGAGCAGAAUAGAUCAAGACAAACCCAGGUCUGUGGACCUAGGCAGCCUGGAUGGACGAGAAAUGAUUCAGACAGUGAUUCAGGAGCUGUGAUUAAGCAGGGAUCUGCCUGGCACAGACUGGCCUCAGAGAAUCUAAUAAGAGGUAAGUCAGUACAUUUUGUAAGCUACCAUUGACUGGGCACUGAUUACUGCACUCCGUACUUGGCAGAGGCAUUAUCUCAAGCAAUCCUCUGUAUCAGCCACGGCACAGUGUGGAAAACAGCCCAUGGCAGACAGCCACUAGUGGACUUUAAUGCAGAAUUCUACUAAGAAAGGUCUUAGAAGAGCUGAAACAACAGAAGGUGACACUGAGGCAGACUAGAGAUUAGCAACAAUGGAUCACUCCCCUCCCUAGGGCUGUUCCUAGGACAAAGCCAGGUGCUAAAAAGAGCUAGGAGCUAAAGCCACCUGGGCAACAGCUGCGACCAAGGAAAGUAAGGCUGCUUAGGAGAAACGGAAAUCACAGAGCAGCAGCCGCUGGAGAUGCCCCCCAAGAAAGAAGGGGAUACCCUCCCUGACCCUUACUUCUUUCUGCCCUUCCAUCACCUGCCUGUCCUCCCAUCACCUGCCAGGCCUCCUGUUGGAUGGAGCAAACUGCAAGGCAGCCAAGAGAAUGAAUUUGUAGAGGCUGCUUACCUACCCACCCUGCCCCAAACAUAGAG